GGCUGUAGCUCAGUGGUAGAGUGCUUGCUUACCAUGUGAGGCCCUGGGUUCGAUCCUCAGCAAAUCU
rnacentral:tRNA from 1 species